UGGGGCCUAGGGUUCUUCCCCGUUCGUCCGCUUUGUUGUCGUCAACGCGAUCGUCUUGGUCCAUGGGCUCUCUAGAAUCGGAAUGUCCGUUCUUUGGUUGACGUCGCGAAUUUAUGGACUUCUCUUCCCCGCAGAAAUGGAGGUUUUUUGUGGCCUUUCUGAUUUGUUAAGUGCAAUACAAACAUUUCUUGGAUGCCUAAAUUAGAAAACUUACAAACUAGACGUCCUGGAUCCAUAUCCAUGGCGGAGACUCUUGCAAGAUGGAAAGAUUACAACGAUCACCUUGAUACAUGUAAUGAUGAGGCUAAACUCCCCCGUAGAGUUCCAGCCAAGGGAUCCAAGAAAGGCUGCAUGAAAGGUAAGGGAGGGCCAGAGAAUUUGAGAUGUAAUUACAGAGGAGUUGGGUAAAGGACAUGGGGGAAGUGGGUUCCCAAAAUUUGAGCACCGAAUAGGGGAAGUCGACUCUCGUUAGGUACAUUCCCAUCUACCAUUGAUGCCGAGAGCUUACGAUGAAGCAGCAAGGGCCAUAUAUGGAACUUUAGCCUCAAUUUUCCCAAUAUCUCAAUCCCAACCCUGCUAAAAGAAAAAGAAUCAUCAACAAAGGAUUCUCGUGAAAUCAAGAGGUCCUCAUUCUCUUCCUUGGGGUCAACCUCGUUUAGUCCGAGUUCCGAGUCCACAAUAUCAUUGGCUGUAGGAGGUGUGGGUCUGCAGAAUUAGUGUAAGAAAUUCAUCUACGAACGAUAUCUCGGAUCAUGGAAACCGUUGGCUGAUAUGCAUUGCAUCCAAGAAGCCAGACAAGCGUGGGGUUCGUAGUUAAUACAACGAUCGGCCUGGUUCAACCGCAACCUUGGGCACCAUUUCAAGUCGGCUAAGGAUUCGAUAAUUAGACCCCGUUUGAUAACUAUUAGAGUCAGGUAAAUAUUCAAGGAAGGUUUGACUUGGUCUCAGUUUGAGCUGUUUCUGUACCAUGCUUGAAGGUUACAUAAAUGUCUGACUAUUUAUAGUUGGCAACUACCCUUUGAGUCUUGAGAAUUUAUUAUAAUACGCGCUAAAAAGAAAUUAUUUAUCAUAAUUUUUACUAUAAAACAAGCUAAACUUUAAUUAAGUGAGUUGAUAAUGUAAGCUAAUAAAUAAAAAGCGAACAUUUUCGUUCCUAUUUAUAAGUAAUAACAAUAAAAUUCAGGUUUAGCCAUCAGUAUCUCUCUCUCUCUAUAUAACCCCUUUGCUGUUUCCUUCUCACAUAAAUCUCCACAAG